GACGAACGCUGGCGGCGUGCUUAACACAUGCAAGUCGAACGGAAAGGCCCUGCUUUUGUGGGGUGCUCGAGUGGCGAACGGGUGAGUAACACGUGAGUAACCUGCCCUUGACUUUGGGAUAACUUCAGGAAACUGGGGCUAAUACCGGAUAGGAGCUCCUGCUGCAUGGUGGGGGUUGGAAAGUUUCGGCGGUUGGGGAUGGACUCGCGGCUUAUCAGCUUGUUGGUGGGGUAGUGGCUUACCCAGGCUUUGACGGGUAGCCGGCCUGAGAGGGUGACCGGCCACAUUGGGACUGAGAGACGGCCCAGACUCGAACGGGAGGCAGCAGUGGGGAAUAUUGCACAAUGGGCGGAAGCGUGAUGCAGCAACGCUGCGUGCGGGAUGACGGCCUUCGGGUUGUAAACCGCUGUCGCCUGUGACGAAGCGUGAGUGACGGUAAUGGGUAAAGAAGCACCGGCUAACUACGUG
rnacentral:rRNA from 1 species